rnacentral:rRNA from 1 species
GACGAACGCUGGCGGCGUGCCUAAUACAUGCAAGUCGAACGCACUCUCGUUUAGAUUGACGGAGUUUGCUCCUGAUUGAUAAACAUUUGAGUGAGUGGCGGACGGGUGAGUAACACGUGGGUAACCUGCCCUAAAGUGGGGGAUAACAUUUGGAAACAGAUGCUAAUACCGCAUAAAACCUAACACCGCAUGGUGUAGGGUUGAAAGAUGGUUUCGGCUAUCACUUUAGGAUGGACCCGCGGUGCAUUAGUUAGUUGGUGAGGUAAAGGCUCACCAAGACCGUGAUGCAUAGCCGGCCUGAGAGGGUAAUCGGCCACACUGGGGCUGAGACACGGCCCAGACUCCUACGGGAGGCAGCAGUAGGGAAUCUUCCACAAUGGACGAAAGUCUGAUGGAGCAACGCCGCGUGAGUGAAGAAGGUUUUCGGAUCGUAAAACUCUGUUGUUGGAGAAGAAUGUAUCUGAUAGUAACUGAUCAGGUAGUGACGGUAUCCAACCAGAAAGCCACGGCUAACUACGUG